rnacentral:rRNA from 1 species
GACAGAGGUGCCGAGCGUUAGGCGGAAUCACUGGGCUUAAAGCGCGUGUAGGUGGCGGCCUAAGUACCUUGUGAAAUCCUGCGGCUCAACCGCCGAACUGCUUGGUAUACUGGGUCGCUUGAGUCAUCCAGGGGCAACUGGAACAAGCGGUGGAGCGGUGAAAUGCGUAGAUAUCGCUUGGAACGCCAAAGGUGAAAACAGGUUGCUGGGGAUGUUCUGACACUGAGACGCGAAAGCCAGGGGAGCGAACGGG